GCAUAUGCGUCCAAACCUGUGGUGAACUUUGCAUUAGCUUUAUGAACAAUUCUCCUUUACCAUCGCCGUGAUCCAAAAAGUUUGCUUUUCUCUUUUGGUCCAUGGCUAUUCCUGACUAAGUCUUCAUUUGUACUAGCAUUAUACAAGGGGAAAUCGCUGAUUGUAAGGACGUGUACUUUGACGUGGGAAUGAUCUUAUCUCUACAGAAAGUCCAGACUUGACCAUUAUACAAGGGGAAAUCGCUGAUUGUAAGGACGUGUACUUUGACGUGGGAAUGAUCUUAUCUCUACAGAAAGUCCAGACUUGACAUGAAUUCCCUCAAGAAAAGGACAUCUGAACGAUCUCACUGGUACAGAUAAGGGUGCCAGCAUCUGAAGACCAAUUACCGAGUAGAAUGAAGACUUAGUGAAACUCAUGGAUGGCUGUACUGUUUGUCAGCUUUGACACAAUAUCUCCUCCUAUUCCAGGGUUUCCCACACAUAGGCUUUACUUGUGCAGGCUGCUCAGAUGUAUUUGGUGACCCAUUUUAACAACAAAACAAAAAACUAAUGUUUUUAACAGUGUUUAACAAAAGUUGACAUUGCAAAGCCUGCCUCUGGUUCAUUCCUGCCUAUUCUAAUACAUUAUAAAUUACUUUAUAUAAGCAAAAUACCAACUGCAUUGCUCCAAUUCUGAAAUUUGUCAUAGAAUGAAGUAAAAAUUUGUUAGGGAUGUUCAACAAGGCGAAUGUCUGCUAACAUAUUCACAAACUUUGUUUCUGUUAUCUUAUGUUAGCUAUGCAUGUUCAUUAACAUUAGCAAACAAUCAGAAAAGGUAGAACAAAAUAGAUGAAAUUUGGCAGAAUUUCACAUUAAACUUAUUUUUAAUAUUUAUAUUAAAACUCAUUUAUUAAUGUUUACUACAUUACACUACCCAGCAUUUGUUCAACAAACCAGGCACAACCUCCUUGUUGGGAAUGUUCCAAAUGUGUCUUUGCUUUCACACAGCAAAAAAUAUCAGUGACAAUCACCAAUUUCUGAUGAUGUAUUUUUGUUUUAAUAAAAAUAUUAGGAUAAACUGUCAGAUGUCACACAUGCUAGUUAUUUGUUUUCCAUCAUUUAAAGCACUGUGCAUUAUAGCUAAUAGACCAUAUUUUGGUUUUUGGGCACUACCACAGCAAGUACAUUUCAGAACUGUGGGAAGCUGUAUGCUCAACAAUAGUGGACAUUUCUUUGGAGACUGUAAUUGUUAUAUCCAUUUUCACUGUUGAGAGUACUCACUGACAAACCAAUAGAAAAAUAUUGUGGUGCUUAACAAAAGCACUGAGUAAGACUGCAUUUCAACACAGUGGUAAAAUAAUGUACCCUGUGUGCGGAGGUCCUGAUUGGUCCUGCCUUAACCAGCUGACCUCUGAUUCUGAGAAUGCUACUUCCUGAAAUGUAUCACUGGUCGCAUUCCCCGCCAUGCCAAAUAAAACACCCCGGGCUACAUAACAGCUGCUGCUCGCAUAUCGCCUACUCAGGGAGGAGCCAUGCUCAUAGUGCGGUUCCACCUAGCACUGUUUACACAAGCUCUUUCAACACGACAACAGCUCCUGAGAUUUGUGCACACUCCCCCAAAGCAGGGAUCAUGUGGAGGCAAGAGGAUAUCAGUGAGGAAUGAUGAUUAAACUUGGGAUACUGGGAGAGCUUUCAGUGAUUUACAACAAUGAUUUGCCUUGAUGAAUUGAGAAAGGGGAGGGGUUUGUGUACAUUCAAUUUUCUGGAACACUGGGCAAUUUGCAUUUAACAAGGGACUCCACAGAAUUCCACAAACUACUGGACCAGUUCAGACAAGCAGGGCAGAGGAGAGAGUUUAUUGCUAAAGCUAUCUCAGCUCACAGUCAUAACAUCCUCACGACUGGCCUGUGACAUUGCCCUGACCUCAUAAGGUGUUAAUUAUGUUAUAAUAUGGCACACUGUGGUAUAACAGCAAUAUUGACAUAUAGAGAAAAAAACCCACAAUCACCUGGUGUCCCAAUCAGAAUAAAUUUUUAGAAAACAGACCAAUUCAGAUGCAGAAUUGUAAAUGCAACAUGCAAUAAGUUUAACAGACAGGCAUGGCAACAGAACUGUCCUUGUUGGUUGUUAUGAUUCAGGCACAGUGAAAUUUAGAUUGGCUGAUUUCCGAGCCUGGGGCAGUCGGAGAGACCGGAUUUGUUCUUACACCUUUUAAUUUAUUGAUAUCUGUGAGCAUCUGUUAAGGAAAUCUAACCAAUUAUUAACAAAAGUUCUACAACAAACCUACUACUACUGCACCUUUAAUAAAAUAUUGCUUAAAUGUUUAUUAUGGGCCAGUUUUAAUUUCCCAUUAAGCCUGUAGCUAAAUAACUUAUGCACAUUUAUGCUGUGACUACAAAAUAAUCACAACAGUACCUUCAAGUUUUAUUACACAAAAUAAAUCUAGGGAAGAUUAUAACAAUACCAGUGAUCCUGUUCACGGCAGUAAAAUGACUCAGUUUGAACAGUUACUCAAAUGUAAAAGAAAAAAAACCGGCAGUUUCCAUUUGCAUAUGUUGCAGACAACUUUCUCCUUGGUUAUUAUUUUGUCUCCACGAAUAACAUGAUUCACAUAUGAACUUUAUUUUAGACUAACUAACCCCUCCAGACAAAACAUCAACAUGGCUUGUUGUUUAUCGAUCUCUUUUAUAUGGAGCGGUACCAGACGUUAAAUUAGCUGGGCAGGAGAUAACAAAUUAUGGGAACACUGUGCAGUUUAGUUCUCUUAAACCAUUUAUCUGUGCUCUUUCUUCUGUUGUUAUUUCUCAGAGCCAUUUUCUUCUGUAAAAUGUUUUCAAAAGUUCUGUGAUCAUCAGUAAUUUUAA